AUACUAUGUUUGCCAUGUAGGUUAUUUUAAUGUUUUAACGUGCGCAAUUUGAUAAAAGGUUAGACAAAAUUGCGCACAAAAUAUUUAAUUCACUUUUUAAGCUCUUGUCUCCAGCACAAGAACUUGGUGUAUAGUCUUUUUGUUAUGAAACAAUAAGAAAGGGCUUCCACUUUGAGCGUUAAGAAAAAUGUCAGGAGAUGUCCAACCAAGGAAAAGGAAAGAUAAAAAGAGAAAGAAAGACGAUCUGGGCUUAGAGGAACCUCGUGGUACUUCUGCAGCACUUGGCGAGGGUGAUGUGUUCAUCCAUUCUUACCAAGAUCAUGGAACUGGCGGACACUGGUGUGCUAAAAUCAUAUUCUUUUCUCUAAUGGCUGUGUUAAUAACUCUGAUUGGCCUCAUUAUCUUGGAAAACAGAGGAUUGAGCGAAUUGGAAGCAAACUCAGUUGAAUCUCGUUACUCUGGUGUACUAGAAGGUUGGAUUGAUGAUGGAAUAGAUGACCAUCACGAUGAACACACAUUAGAAUUGAAACAUCCUGAUGGUGAUGAUGAUGAGUUUCAUAAUGAUAAUGGUGUUGAUAACACUGGUGAUGAAGAAGAUCUAGAUGAUAACGAUGGUGAGAGUGAAGAACAUGACAAUGAUGUUGAUGAGGAUGAUGUUGAAGACAAUGAUGACGAAGAUAAUGUUGAAGACAGUGAUGAUGAAGAUGAUAUAGAAGAUCAGACCAUAGAACAAGAAAUUGAUCAAGAAUUUGAGAUAUUUUCUAUUGAGCAGGAUGAAGAGAACAAAUUCAGUAGUUAUCAAGAGGAGGAUGAAGAUACUAACAAUAUAGAAGAAGAGGAUGAUGCUAGUGAUGAUGAAGAUGAUCCUGAUGAUGUAGAGGAUGAUCUUCCAGACAAUGAAGAUGAUGAGAAUGUCAGUGCUGAAAAUUUUGAUGAUAAAUAUUCUAAUUCCAAAGAAAAUGAUGAUGACAAUAAUUAUAGAGAUGACAUUAAUGAUGACAGUAGAGAAGAUGAGCAUGAUGAAAUUUAUGACAAUGAUAUUGAAGAGGUGCACAAAACAGUUGAAGAUCAAAAUGAUGACGAUGGUGAAGAUGAUGAAGAAAUCGAAAGAAUUGUCCGUGAGAUAUCUGACGAGGAUAUACUGUCUGCUGAAGAGCCUUCAAUGAGUCGGAAUGAGGAGUUGGAUGAAUCCAAUGAAGACACGAAUACUGAUGAAGAUCUGCUGAACGAUGAAGACGAGCCCCCAGUCGAGAAAAUCACCAUCCCUCCUGCUGGUAAACCCUAUGAUGAGAUCGAGGAAGACCCGUUACCCCAAAAGACCCGGGAUAACUUAGCUGAUGAAGAAUUGUAUGAAAAACAACAGGAGGAGUUGCGCAGAGAACAAGAGGCUCACAAUACGAAAAGCAUGUGGCUGAAGCUGCUUGUGGGCGGUGCUUUAUUGGCGGCUACUCAUGCUGUCGUGCGUCGCGCCACAGGCCCACGUGAUGAACCUGAAGUCGAGGAACAAGUUCUUAGGGAAGAAACAACUGUAGUGGAUAGACGUAUGACACUAAUACCACCCGAAGUCACAGACAUAUUACCGAUUACGCGAACAGUUCCAAUAGGGGGUGAACCAAAGGAGAUAGUGAAGGAAACUGUUUCAAAUGUUCAUUCUACUCCUUUGUCAAAACAGGCUACUGAAAAAAAAGUAGAAACAAUAAUUACAAGGAAGGAAGAAGAGGAAAAUGAAGAUGUUGAAGAGGAUGAAGAACUCUAUAGCGAUGAAGAAGAGGAUGUGGAAGAAGAGCAGAUUAAAGAAGUCCCGAAGAAGGUUGAGCCUCAAUCAAUGAAAAGUGUUACAGAAAAGAAGACAGAGGUGGAAGAAGUUGUCGACGAUGAUCCCGAAGAUGUUGAAAUUAUUGAGGAAGAAGAAGAAGAAGAAGUCGAAGAUGAGGAAGAGGAAGACGAAGAAGAAAUAUCAGAUGUUGAUGACGAGGAGUUAUUGCGUCGCUUAGAAGCGAAGUACGGGCGUCUGCCUGAACCAGAAAGACCAUACAAAAACAGUAAAGAAUUCUGUCUGCGUGUAUUUGCUUCCCUGUAGACGCCGUUUUCGCAUGAAUAUUAACUAUAACAUCUCACUUGACUUUACUAACAUAAUAAGAUGGUGGUAACAAUAUAGAGGAUGAGUGGCCGGGGGAACCUGAUGAUACUUACUGGCGCCAACAGCUUGAUCUUGCGGAAGAUGAACUGAGACAGGGUUGGCUCGAAUAACCCGCUUUAGUUUAUUUGCUCGUUGUGCCAUUUUUUUUUUAA